rnacentral:rRNA from 1 species
UUUUNGAGUUUGAUCCUGGCUCAGGAUGAACGCUGGCGGUCUGCUUAACACAUGCAAGUCGAACGGAAUCCUUCGGGAUUUAGUGGCGGACGGGUGAGUAACACGUAAGAACCUGCCUCUAGGACGGGGACAACAGUUGGAAACGACUGCUAAACCCGGAUGAGCCGAAAGGUAAAAGAUUAAUCGCCUAGAGAGGGGCUUGCGUCUGAUUAGCUAGUUGGUGAGGUAAGAGCCCACCAAGGCGACGAUCAGUAGCUGGUCUGAGAGGAUGAUCAGCCACACUGGGACUGAGACACGGCCCAGACUCCUACGGGAGGCAGCAGUGGGGAAUUUUCCGCAAUGGGCGAAAGCCUGACGGAGCAAGACCGCGUGGGGGAGGAAGGUUCUUGGAUUGUCAACCCCUUUUCUCAGGGAAGAACACAAUGACGGUACCUGAGGAAAAAGCAUCGGCUAACUCCGUGCCAGCAGCCGCGGUAAUACGGGGGAUGCAAGCGUUAUCCGGAAUGAUUGGGCGUAAAGAGUCCGUAGGUAGUCAUCCAAGUCUGCUGUUAAAGAGCGAGGCUUAACCUCGUAAAGGCAGUGGAAACUGGAAGACUAGAGUGUAGUAGGGGCAGAGGGAAUUCCUGGUGUAGCGGUGAAAUGCGUAGAGAUCAGGAAGAACACCGGUGGCGAAGGCGCUCUGCUGGGCUAUAACUGACACUGAGGGACGAAAGCUAGGGGAGCGAAUGGGAUUAGAUACCCCAGUAGUCCUAGCGGUAAACGAUGGAAACUAGGUGUGGCCUGUAUCGACCCGAGCCGNNCCGAAGCAAA